GGCAGCAGUGGGGAAUAUUGGACAAUGGGCGAAAGCCUGAUCCAGCCAUGCCGCGUGAGUGAUGAAGGCCCUAGGGUUGUAAAGCUCUUUCAACGGUGAAGAUAAUGACGGUAACCGCAGAAGAAGCCCCGGCUAACUUCGUGCCAGCAGCCGCG
rnacentral:rRNA from 1 species